AGGAUUAGACACCCUGGUAGUCCACGCCGUAAACGAUGUCUACUAGCCGUUGGGACUCUUGAAGUCUUAGUGGCGCAGCUAACGCACUAAGUAGACCGCCUGGGGAGUACGGCCGCAAGGUUAAAACUCAAAUGAAUUGACGGGGGCCCGCACAAGCGGUGGAGCAUGUGGUUUAAUUCGACGCAACGCGAAGAACCUUACCUGGCCUUGACAUGCAGAGAACUUUCCAGAGAUGGAUUGGUG
rnacentral:rRNA from 1 species